GAUGAAGAACGUAGCGAAAUGCGAUAAGUAAUGUGAAUUGCAGAAUUCAGUGAAUCAUCGAAUCUUUGAACGCACAUUGCGCCCGCUAGUAUUCUGGCGGGCAUGCCUGUCCGAGCGUCAUUUCAACCCUCAAGCCCCCGGGCUUGGUGUUGGGGAUCGGCGAGCCUCCGCGCCCGCCGUCCCCUAAAUCUAGUGGCGGUCUCGUUGUAGCUUCCUCUGCGUAGUAGCACACCUCGCACUGGGAAACAGCGCGGCCACGCCGUUAAACCCCCAACUUCUGAACGUUUGACCUCGGAUCAGGUAGGAAUACCCGCUGAACUUAAGCAUAUCAAUAAGCGGAGGA
rnacentral:misc_RNA from 1 species